rnacentral:rRNA from 1 species
ACUAAUAAUAGUCCAACCAUAACCAAUCAUAACUUACCUUAUACAAUAAAAUAAAACAUUCAACCUUUAACCCUACCAAAAGUAUAGGCGAUAGAAAUUCAAAUUAUUGGCACUAUAGAGAUAGUACCGCAAGGGAAAUAUGAAAGAAUUUAAACCAAAGUAUAAAAAAGCAAAGAUUACAUCUUAUACCUUUUGCAUAAUGAUUUAACUAGACCCCUAUUAGCAAAAAGAAUUUAAGUUAAUUACCCCGAAACUAGACGAGCUAUCCACGAGCAGCCCUACAGAGCAAACUCGUCUAUGUAGCAAAAUAGUGAGAAGACUUAUGGAUAGAGGUGAAAAGCCUACCGAGCCUAGUGAUAGCUGGUUAUCCAGAAAAAGAAUUUAAGUUCUAAUUUAAAUUUACCAAAAAAACACAUAAUUUUAAUGUAAAUUUAAAAAAUAGUCUAAAAGGGUACAGCCUUUUAGACAUAGGAAACAACCUUAGCUAGAGAGUAAUAACCAAAUCCACCAUAGUUGGCCUAAAAGCAGCCACCAAUUAAGAAAGCGUUCAAGCUCGACAAUAAACCUAAAACUUAAUACCAACAACAACUAUUCAACUCCUAGACCCACUUACUGGAUUAUUCUAUCUGUAGAUAGAAGCAAUACUGUUAAUAUGAGUAAUAAGAAUUUUAUUCUCCCUGCACAAGCGUAUAUCAGAACGAAUAACUCACUGAUAGUUAACAGAUCAUAAUAAGCCCACAAAUAAAACAAUUAUAUAACAAACUGUUGACCCAACACAGGAGUGCAACACGGGAAAGAUUAAAAAAAGUAAAAGGAACUCGGCAAACAUAUAACCCCGCCUGUUUACCAAAAACAUCACCUCUAGCAUUAAUAGUAUUAGAGGCACUGCCUGCCCAGUGACACUAGUUUAACGGCCGCGGUAUCCUGACCGUGCAAAGGUAGCAUAAUCACUUGUUCUCUAAAUAAGGACUGGUAUGAAUGGCCACACGAGGGUUUUACUGUCUCUUACUUUCAAUCUAUGAAAUUGACCUUCCCGUGAAGAGGCGGGAAUAAACAAAUAAGACGAGAAGACCCUAUGGAGCUUUAAUUAACUAAUUUAUAAGAAAUAAAAAUAACCACCAAGGGCCAACACAUAUUCCUUACAUAAAUUAGCAAUUUAGGUUGGGGUGACCUCGGAAUAUAAAUCAACUUCCGAGUGAUUUUAAGCCUAGACCCACAAGUCAAAGCAAUAUAAUCAUUUAUUGAUCCAAAAUUUUUGAUCAACGGAACAAGUUACCCUAGGGAUAACAGCGCAAUCCUAUUUAAGAGUCCCUAUCGACAAUAGGGUUUACGACCUCGAUGUUGGAUCAGGACAUCCUAAUGGUGCAGCAGCUAUUAAAGGUUCGUUUGUUCAACGAUUAAAGUCCUACGUGAUCUGAGUUCAGACCGGAGUAAUCCAGGUCGGUUUCUAUCUAUUAUAUAUUUCUCCCAGUACGAAAGGACAAGAGAAAUAAGGCCAACUUCAAACAAGCGCCUUAAUGAACUAAUAGAUGAUUUAAGCUUAAUCUACAAAUAAAUACUCAACUCAACCCAAAAUCAGGGUUA